rnacentral:rRNA from 1 species
AUUGAACACUGGCGGCAGGCCUAACACAUGCAAGUCGAGCGGGGAUUUCGGACCUAGUGGCGGACGGGCGAGUAAUGCGUAGGAAGCUGCCCGAUAGAGGGUGCUAACCGGCGGAAAAGACUGCUAAUACCGCAUAAUGACUACGGACUAACGUGUAGGAACUAAGGGCCACAUGCUAACGGCCGCGCCUACGUGGGAUUAGCUAGUUGGUGAGGUAAUGGCUCACCAAGGCGACGAUCUCUAGCUGGUUUGAGAGGAUGAUCAGCCACACUGGAACUGAGACACGGUCCAGACUCCUACGGGAGGCAGCAGUGGGGAAUAUUGGACAAUGGGCGCAAGCCUGAUCCAGCCAUGCCGCGUGGGUGAAGAAGGCCUUCGGGUUGUAAAGCACUUUCAGCGAGGAGGAAGGGUGGUGUGUUAAUAACACAUCAUUUUGACUUUACUCGCAUAAGAAGCACCGGCUAACUCUGUGCCAGCCGCCGCCGUAAGAC